CGCGCGAUAGUUUCCUCCUUAUCUACAAUCUUAUAGUCUGCCCGAAGUAAUUAACUCGCAUCAAUAGUGGAGUGCGUUCAACACGACUGGCCCUGCCACUGCUUCAUGAAACCAAAUUAAUCUCUGAUCGUGGGACAAAAUCGGUGGUGAAGGUGUGAAGUGAACACGACGAGCGGUCAUCUGCGUUGCGUGAGCCGGUCUUGGAGGUGGAAUCCUGACCGGCCAGCUCGAUACCAUCGGCCGCUCUCUACGCACAGAAGACCGACCGGCCAGAAUCCACGGCCCGCUAGCUUCACGACAAGUGGAACGCACCAGUUCGCAUCAGAGGCGAUAUUUUUCACGCUGAGAUGAUUCCCGGCUGAUAGCCGGAGACGGUAAAAUUAGUAAUGUAGAGAUAACCUAAUAAUAUUAGCUUUGCUUGGCAAUUUUGCUAAAUUAAGAUUAUAUAGGCAAGGGCACUUCGAUUGUACCGUUUUAACGAUAUCACAGAUAAAAAGAUAACAAAAAUGAUUUUUUUGUGGUAGGUAAUUUGAUUAAAAAUUUAAUGUUGUCUUCUCCUACAUUGACCAAGGAGCAAGGAGCAAUAAAAACUGCACUAUGACUUUUGUCCAAGCUUAUUUUAUUUAUGUUUUGCCUUUUAGUACACGCUAUUAGAGGCGUGUGGCCAUUAUUCUAAUGCGAGUUCGAACACAAAACCAAUUUCACGCGAUGACACUGCAGGAUAAGAAUCGGAUUGAUCGUUUUAUAAACAGAA